rnacentral:rRNA from 1 species
GAUGAACGCUAGCUACAGGCUUAACACAUGCAAGUCGAGGGGCAGCACAGUGUAGCAAUACACGGGUGGCGACCGGCGCACGGGUGCGUAACACGUAUCCAAUCUGCCCGUUACUCGGGGAUAGCCUUCUGAAGGGAAGAUUAAUACCCGAUGGCAUGUAUUUCCGGCAUCGGAGAUACAUUAAAGAUUUAUCGGUAACGGAUGAGGAUGCGUACGAUUAGCUAGUUGGCGGGGUAACGGCCCACCAAGGCGACGAUCGUUAGGGGUUCUGAGAGGAAGGUCCCCCACACUGGAACUGAGACACGGUCCAGACUCCUACGGGAGGCAGCAGUGAGGAAUAUUGGUCAAUGGUCGAGAGACUGAACCAGCCAAGUAGCGUGAAGGAUGACUGCCCUAUGGGUUGUAAACUUCUUUUGUUUGGGAAUAAAGUCAGGUACGUGUACCUGUUUGUAUGUACCAUUCGAAUAAGCAUCGGCUAAUUCCGUGCCAGCAGCCGCCGUAAAAC